AUUGAACGCUGGCGGCAUGCUUUACACAUGCAAGUCGAACGGUAACAGGCCUUCGGGUGCUGACGAGUGGCGAACGGGUGAGUAAUGCAUCGGAACGUGCCCAGAGGUGGGGGAUAACGCAGCGAAAGCUGUGCUAAUACCGCAUGUGAUCUGAGGAUGAAAGCGGGGGACCAGGCAGCAAUGUUUGGCCUCGCGCCUUUGGAGCGGCCGAUGUCAGAUUAGGUAGUUGGUGGGGUAAAGGCCUACCAAGCCGACGAUCUGUAGCUGGUCUGAGAGGACGACAAGCCACACUGGGACUGAGACACGGCCCAGACUCCUACGGGAGGCAGCAGUGGGGAAUUUUGGACAAUGGGCGCAAGCCUGAUCCAGCAAUGCCGCGUGCGGGAAGAAGGCCUUCGGGUUGUAAACCGCUUUUGUACGGAACGAAAAGGCUCUGGCUAAUACCUGGGGCUGAUGACGGUACCGUAAGAAUAAGCAACGGCUAACUACGUG
rnacentral:rRNA from 1 species